rnacentral:rRNA from 1 species
ACGCUGGCGGCAGGCCUAACACAUGCAAGUCGAGCGGUAGAGAGAAGCUUGCUUCUCUUGAGAGCGGCGGACGGGUGAGUAAUGCCUAGGAAUCUGCCUGGUAGUGGGGGAUAACGUUCGGAAACGGACGCUAAUACCGCAUACGUCCUACGGGAGAAAGCAGGGGACCUUCGGGCCUUGCGCUAUCAGAUGAGCCUAGGUCGGAUUAGCUAGUUGGUGGGGUAAUGGCUCACCAAGGCGACGGUCCGUAACUGGUCUGAGAGGAUGAUCAGUCACACUGGAACUGAGACACGGUCCAGACUCCUACGGGAGGCAGCAGUGGGGAAUAUUGGACAAUGGGCGAAAGCCUGAUCCAGCCAUGCCGCGUGUGUGAAGAAGGUCUUCGGAUUGUAAAGCACUUUAAGUUGGGAGGAAGGGCAGUUGCCUAAUACGUAACUGUUUUGACGUUACCGACAGAAUAAGCACCGGCUAACUCUGUGCCAGCAGCCGCGGUAAUACAGAGGGUGCAAGCGUUAAUCGGAAUUACUGGGCGUAAAGCGCGCGUAGGUGGUUUGUUAAGUUGGAUGUGAAAUCCCCGGGCUCAACCUGGGAACUGCAUUCAAAACUGACUGACUAGAGUAUGGUAGAGGGUGGUGGAAUUUCCUGUGUAGCGGUGAAAUGCGUAGAUAUAGGAAGGAACACCAGUGGCGAAGGCGACCACC